GGGAAUAUAACUUAAUUGGUAAAGUAUCAGACUUUUAAUCUGUGUAAUUUAGGUUCAAAUCCUAAUAUUCUCA